rnacentral:rRNA from 1 species
GCCUUUCGGGGUGGAUUAGUGGCGAACGGGUGAGUAACACGUGGGCAAUCUGCCCUUCACUCUGGGACAAGCCCUGGAAACGGGGUCUAAUACCGGAUAACACUCUGUCCCUCAUGGGGCGGAGUUAAAAGCUCCGGCGGUGAAGGAUGAGCCCGCGGCCUAUCAGCUUGUUGGUGGGGUAAUGGCCUACCAAGGCGACGACGGGUAGCCGGCCUGAGAGGGCGACCGGCCACACUGGGACUGAGACACGGCCCAGACUCCUACGGGAGGCAGCAGUGGGGAAUAUUGCACAAUGGGCGAAAGCCUGAUGCAGCGACGCCGCGUGAGGGAUGACGGCCUUCGGGUUGUAAACCUCUUUCAGCAGGGAAGAAGCGAAAGUGACGGUACCUGCAGAAGAAGCGCCGGCUAACUACGUGCCAGCAGCCGCGGUAAUACGUAGGGCGCAAGCGUUGUCCGGAAUUAUUGGGCGUAAAGAGCUCGUAGGCGGCUUGUCACGUCGGAUGUGAAAGCUCGGGGCUUAACCCCGAGUCUGCAUUCGAUACGGGCUAGCUAGAGUGUG